UACGUAGGGUGCGAGCGUUAAUCGGAAUUACUGGGCGUAAAGCGUGCGCAGGCGGUUUUGUAAGCCAGAUGUGAAAGCCCCGGGCUCAACCUGGGAACUGCAUUUGUGACUGCACGGCUGGAGUGCGGCAGAGGGGGAUGGAAUUCCGCGUGUAGCAGUGAAAUGCGUAGAUAUGCGGAGGAACACCGAUGGCGAAGGCAAUCCCCUGGGCCUGCACUGACGCUCAUGCACGAAAGCGUGGGGAGCAAACAGG
rnacentral:rRNA from 1 species